GGGGAUUUAGCUCAGUGGUAGAGCGCUUGCCUAGGAAGCGCAAGAACCUGGGUUCGUCCCCAGCUCCG
rnacentral:tRNA from 1 species